GUGGGGAAUUUUGGACAAUGGGCGCAAGCCUGAUCCAGCCAUGCCGCGUGCAGGAUGAAGGCCUUCGGGUUGUAAACUGCUUUUGUACGGAACGAAACGGCUCUUUCUAAUAAAGAGGGCUAAUGACGGUACCGUAAGAAUAAGCACCGGCUAACUACGUGCCAGCAGCCGCGGUAAUACGUAGGGUGCGAGCGUUAAUCGGAAUUACUGGGCGUAAAGCGUGCGCAGGCGGUGAUGUAAGACAGAUGUGAAAUCCCCGGGCUCAACCUGGGAACUGCAUUUGUGACUGCAUCGCUGGAGUGCGGCAGAGGGGGAUGGAAUUCCGCGUGUAGCAGUGAAAUGCGUAGAUAUGCGGAGGAACACCGAUGGCGAAGGCAAUCCCCUGGGCCUGCACUGACGCUCAUGCACGAAAGCGUGGGGAGCAAACAGGAUUAGAUACCCGAGUAGUCC
rnacentral:rRNA from 1 species